GAAUAUAUAAAAAUUAAAAAAGAGUAUAAAAGUGUGCAAAAUAAACAGAAAAUAGGUGAAAUUGAGAAAUACGCGCGCAUUUCAUUUUCCAACUACCAACGUAAUUUCUGUUGAAAUUGGGAAAAAGUUGAAGUUUUGGUGUUAAAUAAAAAGUGAUUAUUGUUCACAAAAACUGUUUAAGCCUUUACUAUAAAAAACCACAACAAGAAAAGGGUUUUGAAAAUUUGAAACCAAACUUAACGCUUUCGCUUUUUUUAAACUAGAUACGCUCGCCAGCGAACAAAAAAAAAUUUACAAAGAACAGCAGCUUCAACGAAAACUUUUUUGCAACGUGCCGAUUCUGACCAAAUAACAUAUUUUCCAGUCUAUAAAUUAAAAUAUUUGCCAGCUAAAACAAGUAAAUAAUUGCAUCAGCAAAUGAAAGUAAAAGUGCAAAAGCGGCAAAAGUAAUAGAACAACUUUGUUAAGCGGAGCAAGUAGAAGAGGAAGCAGUGAAAUUAACGCAAAUGAAGUGAGUGUGAUACAAACAUCACAUAUGUGUGUAUGUGUCUGUCUAUUUGCGGCAAAUAAAUUAUUUGUACAACAAAUCCCGCUAAAAACAAAAAAAUAACAAAAACGACAACAAAUACAGUGUGAACCAUAUACAUAAAAGUAAACAAAGAAUAAUAACCACGAAAACAACAACAGUAAUAAGCAGAAAAAGUGUUUUUAUUAUUAUUACUAUUUUCCAAAGAAAAAAGCGACAAGUGAAAUAAACAAAUAAAUGCACAUACAUACAUACAUAGAUGUUACAACGCGCUGAACAAGCAAGAAAAGUGAACAAGUUCGUCACCGAGAUAUAAUAAAAAUAAAAAAAAUUUAUAUAAAAAUACAAACAAAAAACAACAAGAAUAAAAAGUAAAAAUCCCAUAACAACGCUCAAGCAUACAGUCAGUGAGCCAGCAAGCCAGUCAGUCAACCAACCAACAACAAGAGCCACCAGUGUAACGUCUACAACUUUUGCCUUUUGUGCAUAUGACGAUCUCAUUUUUCUCAACUAGUGACAACUGGCAAAUGUAGAAGAAGCAAAA